UGGGGAAUAUUGCACAAUGGGCGAAAGCCUGAUGCAGCAACGCCGCGUGAGUGAUGAAGGUCUUCGGAUUGUAAAGCUCUGUCUUUUGGGACGAUAAUGACGGUACCAAAGGAGGAAGCCACGGCUAACUACGUGCCAGCAGCCGCGGUAAUACGUAGGUGGCGAGCGUUGUCCGGAUUUACUGGGCGUAAAGGGUGCGUAGGCGGAUGUUUAAGUGAGAUGUGAAAUACCCGGGCUUAACUUGGGUGCUGCAUUUCAAACUGGAUAUCUAGAGUGCAGGAGAGGAGAAUGGAAUUCCUAGUGUAGCGGUGAAAUGCGUAGAGAUUAGGAGCAAACACC
rnacentral:rRNA from 1 species